AGCGAACGUUUGCGGCGGGCCUAACACAUGCAAGUCGAACGGGCUAGCAAUAGUCAGUGGCGCACGGGUGCGUAACACGUGGGUAAUCAACCCUUCAGCUCGGGAUAACGCCUUGAAAGGGGCGCUAAUACCGGAUACGACGCGAGGAGCUUCGGCUGCUUGCGGGAAAGAUUCGCAAGGAUCUCUGAAGGACGAGCCUGCGGCCCAUCAGCUAGUUGGUGAGGUAAGAGCUCACCAAGGCGAAGACGGGUAGCUGGUCUGAGAGGAUGAUCAGCCACACUGGAACUGAGACACGGUCCAGACUCCUACGGGAGGCAGCAGUGGGGAAUAUUGCGCAAUGGGCGAAAGCCUGACGCAGCCACGCCGCGUGAGCGAUGAAGGCCUGGUCGUAA
rnacentral:rRNA from 1 species